rnacentral:lncRNA from 1 species
UUAAUUCUACCUUGUAUCUUUUUGGAAUUUUCCAACCCAUGGGAUUUUUUUACAAUACGAAGGGGUUUAUUGCAAUAAGAUAAGCUACCCAUAAAUUUUGGUAUUUAAUUUGGAGUUGAAAAAAAACUAUUUUGUAUGUAAAUAACAUUGCACUAGAGGCAAUUAUAUAGACAAAAGUACUUUCAGGUAUUUUAUUUUGAAGGGAAAUUAGUCCCAAGAGUUGAAUCAUAAAAUUAUAUGAUUCUACAAAUUUUCCGGAAUUUAUUGGAGUUCAUUUGGAGUUCAAAAUCAAAAGUUAUAAAGGAAAAACAGAAAAAGGAAAAGGAGAAAAUAAUAAAAAAAAAGAAAAACGGACCGGCCCGGUCCCCCCACGCGCCCCGCGCGCCCGAGCGGCCCAGCCAGCCAGUUAGCGCAUGCUCCCGAGCAGCCCCGCCAGCCCCGCCGCCGCCCUUAGCCAACAGUCACUGAUAGGUGGGGCCCACCUGUCAGUCUUCUUGAUCCGGCCGCGAAUCUAGCGAGCACGGCCAUUACUCUCGUCUUCAAUUCAGCCGUCGACUCCAGGGUGAGCCUCGGUCCAAACGCGCAUGCUCUUCUUCUUCCUCUCGUCUUUGGCACCUUUUGACGCAAAAAAAUUUCCUUUUGGUGCACCGAAGCCUUCCUGUCGUCGUUCGCCGGAGCACGCCGCCGCUGUUCUUCGUCGAGCUAGGUGCCAUCCUCGUCGUCUUCGGAGCAACCCGACCCCGUCAUCUCCUUCGCCUCGCCCCGCCACCCACACCGAUGUCUUCCCCGACGCCCGAAGACCACCGGAGCUUCGCCGCGCCGCCCGCCCGUGACGCCGCCGCC